CAAAAAAAAUUGCUCCAUAGGGUGAACCGCAAUAAUAGAAUAUGAGAAUCUUCUGAGAUGGUGCUAUUCUCCAUCUCAAUUAACCAAAGAGAGUGCGUUAAAUAUUUGUCUGGCUGGUAUUGAAGACACGACGGAGCUUUUUGAGACGCAACU